UACGGAGGGUGCAAACGUUGCUCGGAAUCAUUGGGCGUAAAGCGCACGUAGGCGGCCAACUAAGUCAGACGUGAAAUCCCUCGGCUUAACCGGGGAACUGCGUCUGAUACUGGAUGGCUUGAAUUCGGGAGAGGGAUGCGGAAUUCCAGGUGUAGCGGUGAAAUGCGUAGAUAUCUGGAGGAACACCGGUGGCGAAGGCGGCAUCCUGGACCGACAUUGACGCUGAGGAGCGAAAGCCAGGGGAGCAAACGGG
rnacentral:rRNA from 1 species